GUGGGGAAUAUUGGACAAUGGGCGCAAGCCUGAUCCAGCCAUGCCGCGUGAGUGAUGAAGGCCCUAGGGUUGUAAAGCUCUUUCAGUGGGGACGAUAAUGACGGUACCCACAGAAGAAGCCCCGGCUAACUUCGUGCCAGCAGCCGCGGUAAUACGAAGGGGGCUAGCGUUGUUCGGAUUUACUGGGCGUAAAGCGCACGUAGGCGGAAUGUUAAGUCAGAGGUGAAAUCCUGGAGCUCAACUCCAGAACUGCCUUUGAUACUGGCAAUCUCGAGUCCGGAAGAGGUGAGUGGAACUCCUAGUGUAGAGGUAGAAUUCGUAGAUAUUAGGAAGAACACCAGUGGCGAAGGCGGCUCACUGGUCCGGUACUGACGCUGAGGUGCGAAAGCGUGGGGAGCAAACAGGAUUAGAAACCCGGGUAGUCC
rnacentral:rRNA from 1 species